rnacentral:rRNA from 1 species
GACGGGGGAUGCAAGUGUUAUCCGGAAUCACUGGGCGUAAAGCGUCUGCAGGUGGUUUCCUAAGUCCACUGUUAAACCUUGAGGCUCAACCUCAAAUCUGCAUUGGAAACUAGGAGACUUGAGUAUAGUAGGGGUAGAGGGAAUUUCCAGUGGAGCGGUGAAAUGCGUAGAUAUUGGAAAGAACACCGAUGGCGAAGGCACUCUACUGGGCUAUUACUGACACUCAGGGACGAAAGCUAGGGGAGCAAAUGGG